rnacentral:rRNA from 1 species
GAUGAACGCUGGCGGCGUGCCUAAUACAUGCAAGUCGAGCGAACGGACGAGAAGAUUUCUCCACUGAUGUUAGCGGCGGACGGGUGAGUAACACGUGGAUAACCUACCUAUAAGACUGAGAUAACUACGGGAAACCGGAGCUAAUACCGGAUAAUAUUUUGAACCGCAUGGUUCAAAAGUGAAAGACGGUCUUGCUGUCACUUAUAGAUGGAUCGGCGCUGCAUUAGCUAGUUGGUAAGGUAACGGCUUACCAAGGCAACGAUGCAUAGCCGACCUGAGAGGGUGGUAGGCCACACUGGAACUGAGACACGGUCCAGACUCCUACGGGAGGGAGCAGGAGGGAAGCUUCAGCGAUGGGCGAAAGCCUGACGGAGCAACGCCGCGUGAGUGAGGAAGGUAGUCGGAUCGUAAAACUCUGUUAUUAGGGAAGAACAUAUGUGUAAGUACCUGUGCACAUCUUGACGGUACCUAAUCAGAAAGCCACGGCUAACUACGUG